CCUACGGGAGGCAGCAGUGAGGAAUAUUGGUCACUGGGCGCGAGCCUGAACCAGCCAAGUAGCGUGAAGGAAGACUGCCCUACGGGUUGUAAACUUCUUUUAUAAAGGAAUAAAAGGAGACACGUGUGCCUGUUUGAAUGUACUUUAUGAAUAAGGAUCGGCUAACUACGUGCCAGCAGCCGCGGUAAUACGGAGGAUCCGAUCGUUAUACGGAUUUAUUGGGUUCAAAGGGAGCGUAGAGGUGUUGAUAAGUUAGUGGUGAAAGAUUGCGGCUCAACCGUAAAAUUGCAUUUGUUACUGGCAGUCUUGAGUGCAGUUGAGGUAGGCGGAAUUCAUGGUGUAGCGGUGAAAUGCUUAGAUAUCACGAAGAACUCCGAUUGCGAAGGCAGCUUACUAAACUGCCACUGACAUUGAUGCACGAAAGUGUGGGUAGCAAACAGGAUUAGAUACCCCAGUAGUC
rnacentral:rRNA from 1 species